rnacentral:lncRNA from 1 species
UAAAAGCCAUCUGAUAUUUUACUGCAAGCAUGUGGCGGUGAAGAAGACAAUGACUGCUAGUAUGGUUUGUGCCACUGCCUUGAUUUCCGCUCAGGCACCAGCAGUCUUACCCACCAUUGCUUUGGUGCAGUUGGUGGAGAUAUCAACAGAUCAAAAGCACAAGUAAUAUGACUCAGCUCCCUAUGCCCACUAAAUACAAAUUUUCAGAACUGUGAUCACAGCCCUGGCCAAAUAGUGCUCCUGGUCAAACCUUUGUAGGUAAAAUGUUUUCUCCAGCUUUCUGCUAGCUCUUAGAAGCCAGUGUGAAGGAAAAGGGAUGUCAUGAAGCAUCACUCCAAGCUGAUCAUCUAUUCCAUUGUCUUGAGAAUUAUGUAGAAUAAAAUCACUGUCUCCCUGAGU